rnacentral:tRNA from 1 species
UGCGGGGUCGUCUAAUGGUAGGACAUCAGCCUUUGGAGCUGAGUAUCUUGGUUCGAGUCCAAGCCCCGCAGCCA